UACGAAGGGGGCUAGCGUUGCUCGGAAUUACUGGGCGUAAAGGGCGCGUAGGCGGCCUCGUCCGUCCGGCGUGAAAUGCCUGGGCUCAACCUAGGAAUUGCGCUCGAUACAGCGAGGCUAGAGUGUGGGAGAGGUUGGUGGAAUUCCCAGUGUAGAGGUGAAAUUCGUAGAUAUUGGGAAGAACACCGGUGGCGAAGGCGGCCAACUGGACCACAACUGACGCUGAGGCGCGAAAGCGUGGGGAGCAAACAGG
rnacentral:rRNA from 1 species